AACGCAUCUUGCACUUUUCAGGUCUCCUGAAAAGUAUACUUGUUUGAGUAUCAUAAACAUCUAUCCAAGAGUUCUUCUUGGGAAUUGAGGGAUUUAGUGUUCUUGUGACAUUAUGCCUUUAAAUGAAUAUGUGCGGCGAUUCUAUAGCGGUUUACCUCUGUAGAAGCCUUAAAAAUCAAAUGUGAGAUAAAUAUCGCACAGAGUAGUUUUCUAGGUUCAAGCCAUGCUACUCCCUGAGUUCUUAACCGAACCCAAUUUUUGACUAUUGAUCUCAAAUCAAGUAAGACUACCCGCUGAACUUAA
rnacentral:misc_RNA from 2 species